AGUCUCCAUCACCAAUAAAAUGUGUAAAUUACAAGUUACUAGAACCUGUGGAAACAUUUCAUGUGGAAAAGUUGAAUUACUCCCUUUUGGAGAAAGUAGAAGCUAAGGUGCAUUACAUCACUCUGCUUUUCUAACUGCAAAAGGCUGAAUUGAAGGUGGUUUUUGUUUUUAUUUCUUCUUUUUCUGGAGCUUUCCUACUUUCCCUUACUAGGAAAAUGUGAUCCAACACUUGCCUAAUAUUUCUAUGAUUACAGUAUAACAUACAUUUCAGAGAAUUUAAGAGUCAAUAAGGAAGCCACUAAUCAAGAAAUUUAUGUAUUAGCUAUUCAAAGGUUAUGUUUUCAUGAUGUAUUUUCUUGCUGUGAUUUCCAAUACAAGGUCCUUAUGGGAUAGUUUUAUGCUAUAGGGACACAGUAGGGGAUCUCCUAAAGAUAACAAGAAUCUCCACGAAGAAAUUGAAACCACAUAAUACUCCUCAUGCAGCCAUAACAUUGAAGUAAAAGAUCAGGUGCCUUGGGGAUGAAAUAUGUGUUUGCUGAGAGUUGGGCUUCAGAAUAUCUAAAUGUCAUCUUAUCCAAAUGGCCAAUUGAGAGGUGGAAAGUUCCAGAAUGCUGAUAAGGUUGAUGAUUUCAGGUUCCUUCUUCCUCUUAUAUUUCCAUUGAAAAAUUGACACUUUCCAUUUUUCAUCAUGAAAGUAGUUAGUUAAGAUUUUUGUUAAAAAAGACUGCAAUAAGAAGUGUUUAUGUGUUGCAAGAAUGUGUUGAAGGCCUCAAUUAUUGUGCAGGAGAAUCAGAAAAUGAAACUGUUUAGAUCAUCAUGAAUUGUGGUCAUGUAUUUACUCUUUCUCACAUUAAGCUACCUAUGAGUUACACUUGCAGGGAUACACAUAGUUCUCAUUCUUCUUCAUAGGGACUUUUGUAUCAUGCAGCAACGGAAAACCAAAGGAGCUUAAGGAUUUUAAUGAGGGUUUCUAUUUUAUUGUUCGUGCCACUAUCAAAUUGCCACAAUCAGUUUUCUGUUGCUAAUAGGGUGAAGGCCAUCAAUUUGCAGAUAAAACAUUCUUGGAUUUUGGAUAAGAUGUGAAUCUCACUCCUUCUACAGAGAAAAAAUUGAAGCUCUAUUGCAUGAACUUGAUGAGGAAGAGAUGCAAAUGGAUGAAUUAGCAAAGAGGACUAUAGAAGUUGAAAGAAUCCAUUCCUUGAGGUGUUGAUGCUGUUAAACCUGUUGAAAAUGGCUCAUGACAAACUGCAGCUUUUAAACGUGAUGAAAAUAUUUAUACAGAUAUAGAAUAGUUGGUUGGUUGUCUCAUACAACUAUUGGUAGAUAGGGAUAAUGAGUAAUAGCUUUAGUGUGAUGGUGUUAGAUGAUCAUAUGUGAGGGAAUUGGAUAAAGGGAUAUUUGAAGGAAGGUGAUCAUGAAAAGGCUACAUAUUCUCAUUUGAUACUGUGCCGAAAAACAAAAGACUUAGACAUGAUAUGAAUAAUAUUGUUAAACUAUA